UCGAGAAUCAUUCGCAAUGGGCGCAAGCCUGACGGUGCGACGUCGCGUGGAGGAUGAAGGUCUUCGGAUUGUAAACUCCUGUCAUGUGGGAUAAAUGGCCAGGGCAAGAAUACUGCCUUGGAAUGAUAGUACCACAGGAGGAAGAGACGGCUAACUCUGUGCCAGCAGCCGCGGUAAUACAGAGGUCUCGAGCGUUGUUCGGAUUUACUGGGCGUAAAGGGAGCGUAGGCGGUUCGGUGUGUUGAAUGUGAAAUCCCACAACUCAACUGUGGAAUGGCAUUCAAAACUACCGGGCUAGAGUACUGGAGAGGAGAGCGGAAUUCUUGGUGUAGCGGUGAAAUGCGUAGAUAUCAAGAGGAACACCGGUGGCGAAGGCGGCUCUCUGGACAGAUACUGACGCUGAGGCUCUAAAGUUAGGGGAGCAAACA
rnacentral:rRNA from 1 species